UGUGAUGAUAACGUGCACUCCGAAGCGAUAAUUCCCUUUGAUCCCCGUGGAUCAGGGAAUUUCGCGAUUGUGCAAUGACGAACUGGUGCACAGGGGCCAUCUGAUGCG